AGAGAGAGAGAGAGAGAGAGAGAGAGAGAGAGAAUGAAUGAAUGAAUGAAUGCACACUAACGUUCAAACUAAGGUUAGGUAAAGAUUUGCCAUUAUGAAACCAAGAAUAAUUAGCUUGUACUCUUGUUUACAAAGGCAGUUCACGAUGGCUACACGUCUUAUAAAGGUCAGACAGAAAUAUAACAAUUAAACGAUGCUUCAGAUGUUCUCAUGUUCUCAGUCGUGUAAAGUAAGGUUUUUUUAAAAGAGGGCGUCAAUAGAGACAAUCAGUUUUGAUUUAAAAAAAAUUAUUUGCUCGUACGUAACGUAAAGAAACUAUUUCAAUUGUAAAACCCCGUUAGAACGACGAGCGUAAUAUUCUAAUGUAGGCCGAAUAUAAUGAAAACAAGAAGACAGUGGUUUAGCUUAACUCAAAUUUUUAUAAGCAAUUGUUUUGUACGUUUCUUAAAAACUCCAAAAUCAAAAUGUCUGAGAAUUAAAAAUUGAGUCUAGACGAAUACUCUUACGGCAACACUAUUGUAUUAGUCGAGUGGCUAUUUUGGGUAAAAGUAAAUCAAUAAAUAAAUAGGUUAGCCACAGAUCCAGGGACCUAUAUUAUCAAAUACGAAAAUCAAUAUAACGAUAGACAUAAAUAGACAUAAAUAUGAAUAUAUCAAUGCAGGGAAAUCGAAGAACGACUGUUGCGGCGCAAAGCUUAAACGUACACUUCCCGCGGCCCGUUAUUGGCGGUGCUACAAACAUUAUAUUAUACUAAUAAAACAAAGAUCAUUCACCAUACUGGUUUGCGGAAUUACUGUUUUUGCAUCCUUUGGUCAACUUUCAUUAUUUAUCUCCAAUAAAAUUUCACUCUCCGUUCACCAUAAAACAGUCCUUGGUUAGGGAAGAGUUUCGUGAAACCGAAUUGUUUUGACUAUUUGAUCCUUUGAGGAAUAAGUUACUUGAGGAAAAAUCUUCUUGCUAAUGUUAAAUUUUUAAAAGUGUAUAGCUCAUUGUGGUGUGUUGAAGUCAAGACGAAGUGUUACUUAUUCCUCGUGUGGCGAAAUGAAAUAAGUGGCCAUGAUGGAAAUUCACAACGAGUAAAGAAAAUUGGUUAAGAAGACGAAGAACAACAGCAUCUACAUAAACAACAACAAAAGCUACAACAGCAACCAUGCUCCUGAACAACAAUAACAACAACAACAAAAGCUACAGCAAUGACAACGAUGGCGACGUCCAGCCUUGGCCGCGGUAAUGUGCUGCUUCUCCGUCACCGUCGACUUGGCAACGCCAUAUGGCAGGCUCAGCGGUAACUUCAUCUACACCAUAGUCUGAGUGAACAUCAGAGAGACUGUUCUUUUGCAACGUUGAACGACGUGUCCCAUGGCAGUAAGCGAAAGCAAGAUUCAACACAUCUAAGGAUAUGGUAUUUCCCGACUGUGGUUCACGGACGGCAUGGUUGCAUCGGAUCAGGAUGACCCAGAGUAGCUUGUUGUUAAAUGCCAUCUCGUCGGUUGACGAAGAACGGCAUCGCCGCGGAUCUUAUGAAAGUCUUCGGUUUUACAAACCUUUAUUCGUCGAUCUCUUUUUCCAUCUCUCUAGGUCAAUACUUUUGCGAAUUUUACUCAUAUCAGUUUUCUUCAGUAAUUCAAGAGAAACGGCAAUAACAUUAAAUAUUUAUUUAAAGAAUGUGAAAAAAUCAAUAGUGUUGAAAUUUCGGUUGCGUUUCUCUUACUGUUUCAACAUUAAAUGAUUUCACUUUAACGGAAAUUACUGUAGAAAAAAGAAGGUAAAUGCCAAAAUCAUACUUAAUUGCUGAAUCGUGGAUGUGCUCCCAGUACAGAAAGUAAAGUGGGAAUGUGAGUCGAUUGUUGAGCCAUUUUUCCUUUAUGGAAGUGAAGUGCGAAUGUGGAGUGUGAUUAAAAAAGAAGAGGACGGAAGAUAUUUAGAUGAACUCUGUGUGUGUGUGUGUAUAUAUUUAUAUGGAGUAAGAAGGAUUAAGAAAUGUGAGGGAAGGUAGAAGGGGUGAAAAGGUUAACGUAGGUGAAAGGAGAGACGAGAAGAAUUUUACAUCGUGUAUUUCAGCUGAGAGAGAGAGAGAGAGAGAGAGAGAGAGGAGACGAGAGAGAGAGAGAGAGAGAGAGAGAGAGAGAGACUAUAAUUCCAAAAAAGGAAACGAAAAACCCACAGCAAAUUUAAACAUCGUGGCAGACCGCCCCCUCCCCACCAAACCCCACCACACACAAUGUCAAAAUCUCCAAUAACAAUAGUGGAAGGUUUAGGUACGAUCUCCCUUCUGAUAACAAUUCCACUUUCCUUUCUCAGCUUCCAGCCCCCCUCCCCCCAAGAAAAGAAAUGAAUGCAUUUCGCUUGGGGUGACUGACGUAAAGCCUAGAAAAUAAGAACAAAAAUUCAAACAUAAAAUUAUGCUUACGGAAAUAAUGAUUGUAUUUAUUGGGAAACAUUUUUUUUUUCGAGGAUAAUGUACAUCAUCCAGGGUAAUCAUCUCUUAAAAACUGCUUCUCGGUUCAGUCACGUAAAACGAAGCAACGUAUUGUGUUUAAACAGCUAAUAGUUUGCAAGCAGGCUUCACGAUUUUGCACCGAAAAUCGGUGUACGAAGUCCAUGAGCUGUGGUACAGCUUUUGUCAUUUUGUUAAGAUAACCCAGCAAUGACUAAACAUGGUAACCGUAAUUAUCUUACUUUGUCAAAGGGUAUAAGGGCAUAGUGGAGGUGAGCUGUAUGUAAAAUCAUUGAAUUUACUUAAUAUCAAACAUGAAUCAGAAUGUGAAAUAUUUUUAGAAUUUAUUUAUGACAAGCUUCCGCAGACUAGAUUUUAAGAUAUCGUUUUGUACAGUGAAGGUUUUAUGAAAAAGAAAACCUAAUAACAUUAACUGUUGUCCUAACAUCAUAACCAGUUUUCGCAAUACAGAUUUUGGUGACAAAUUUAGAACUCUGUAACUUGGACUUCGUGAGGAAGAGACCAUUCAAGGACAUAAACAAGUGGGAACAGGAAGUCUUAAACAAGGAGCUAGCCAGUGAUCACCAGGCUAGGAAAGCCCAGGAUGAGCUAAUUAGAGGCCAAAGUACAGACAUAACCAGUGCAUCAAAAGUGAUGGAGGAAUUGGCCUUCUGUGGAUGGGAGGCAAGAGGAAAUUUCAGGAAAUCAAUAGCCACAAACAAAAUUUACUUCUGCAAAUCUGUCAAUCAUGAGACACCUGACGAAACUGAUGCCAGGAAAAAAUGUUGAAUGUGAUAAUUACAGCUUCUACUUGCCAGGAAUUGGUAUAAAAAUUAUUGCCAAAUUGGUACAGUUUUUGUACAGGAAUUCCAAUGAUGCCUCCUAUGCCGGGCAUACUGUUGGAGAAAGCAUAUUCAGAAAAUUACGUCAAGCAUAGGGACCCAGUAGGAGCGGUCGAAAUAGAUUUUAGCCCUUAGAGGACCUCUUGAAGGACACCCCGCCAAUAUGAUAUCAGGCAGAUAGGCAAUGGUUGCUUGCAUGCAUAACUAUACUAUUUUUUUCCAUCUGUCCAUCCGCCUGUGGUGUUUGCGCAUGGUAACACUGCGUACCGGGCUUUAAAUAAAUCCUAUUUCGAAUAUUAACGGUGUAAUUCGCAUACAGUAAAUUAUUAAAAUACUUUUCAGUUGCAAAUGUAUACCCAGAUAUCCUUUUAUUUACCUGAAACUUACACAUAGUGUAACUAAUUAAAGCCCGGGACGCAGUGUUACCAUGCGAAAACACCACAGACAGAUGGACAGAUGGAAAAAAACAGUAUAGAAGACACUAAAUGGGAGAACCCUUAUGACGUUACACAGAAUCCUCUGUUGAAUGAUUAUGAUCUACGCCAAAUGAAGAAGGUUUCCUGGUAGUUCUUCCUCCAGCCUGAAGUAUACACACUGCAGCUGAAGAUAUAGAAAAUGGCGAGAGGGGGAGGGGAUCAGUGUCAUACUUUCAUUUAUACAAAAUUCUUAUAUUUAACGAAGAUUCUACAGUUCUAGCCAUUUGAUAUAUACGAGUACACAUCUCUUAUUCAUAAAGAAUGAUCUUAUACCCUUAUAUCGGUAGAAACAAGGCAGUUAGCGUUAAGAGGUCUCGCCUACCGAUAAUCAUUGUUUUUCAAGUUGAAGCAGCUAUUUAGUUCUCAGCCAGGUAUCAGGCACUGAUUAAAAAGAUAUAUAUAUAUAUAUAUAUCUUGUUUUUUAAGUGGUUCCGAGGUCUUAGUUGUAAGCUUUAAUUUUCCCUUUACCGGUUUAAUUUGUUUGCAAGUGAAGUCCUUAUUUCUUAUCAUUAUCGGUCUUUUUAUAUAAAAAAAUUAUGCUGUCCACCAUAUCCGUCAUUAACAAUUGAAUUCACUACUGUCACGAAACACGCUAUGUUUAUUAUUGGAUCAUUACUGUUAUUGUGUAUUCAUAUCAAUCAAAACAAAUAGUGAUAAAUUGCUACGCUGUUAAUAUAAUCUAAUAUUAUUGUGUAAAAAAAUAGUUCUAGCAGAGAGAUGUCUAGUGACAAAAUAAAAACAAUUACUAAUGUACGAGAGAGAGAGAGAGAGAGAGAGAGAGAGAGAGAGAGAGAGAGAGAGAGAGAGAGAGAGAGAGAGAGAGAGAGAGAGAGAGAAAUAA